rnacentral:rRNA from 1 species
GGUAGAGGAGCAUUCUUAAAGAGACGAAGCUGUACCGAAAGGAGCAGUGGAUUUUUAAGAAGAGAGAAUGCCGGAAUGAGUAGCGAGAAAGAGGUGAGAAUCCUCUUGGCCGAAUAUCUAAGGUUUCCAGGGUAAAGCUGAUCUGCCCUGGGUAAGUCGGGGCCUAAGGCGAGGUCGAAAGACGUAGUCGAUGGAUAACAGGUUGAAAUUCCUGUACUAUCCUGUAACAGAACUGUGGGGACGCAGACAGAGAGCACAAGCCGGGAAUGGAAAGACCGGUGCAAGCGAGGUAGGAGUACAUCAGGCAAAUCCGGUGUGCAAUCCGAAGACGUGACGCGGAUCGAAAAGAAGUAGAGAAGUGUGUGAGCUGGCUGCCAAGAAAAGCCGCUAUUGUUUACAGGAUACCCGUACCGUAAACCGACACAGGUGGAUGAGGAGAGAAUCCUAAGGCCGACGGGAGAAGCAUUGUUAAGGAACUCGGCAAAAUGACUCCGUAACUUCGGGAGAAGGAGUGCCAUGCGAAUGGCCGCAGAGAAUUGGCCCAAGCAACUGUUUAGCAAAAACACAGGUCUAUGCGAAACCGAAAGGUGAGGUAUAUGGGCUGACGCCUGCCCGGUGCUGGAAGGUUAAGGGGAGAGGUUAGCGCAAGCGAAGCUUUGAACUUAAGCCCCAGUAAACGGCGGCCGUAACUAUAACGGUCCUAAGGUAGCGAAAUUCCUUGUCGGGUAAGUUCCGACCCGCACGAAAGGCGUAAUGAUUUGGGCACUGUCUCAACAAUGCACCCGGUGAAAUUGAAAUACCAGUGAAGAUGCUGGUUACCUGCGCCAGGACGGAAAGACCCCAUGGAGCUUUACUCUAGCUUGAUACUGGGAUUCGAUAUUGCAUGUACAGGAUAGGUGGGAGACUAGGAAGUGGUGACGCCAGUUGCCAUGGAGUCAAUGUUGGGAUACCACCCUUGCAGUAUUGGGUUUCUAACCAGCAGCCGUGAUCCGGCUGGGGGACAAUGUCAGGUGGGGAGUUUGACUGGGGCGGUCGCCUCCGAAAGGGUAUCGGAGGCGCUCAAAGGUUCCCUCAGAAUGGUUGGAAACCAUUCGAAGAGUGCAAAGGCAGAAGGGAGCUUGACUGCGACACCGACGGGUGGAGCAGGUACGAAAGUAGGACUUAGUGAUCCGGUGGUAUAAAGUGGGAUUGCCAUCGCUCAACGGAUAAAAGCUACCCUGGGGAUAACAGGCUUAUCACUCCCAAGAGUUCACAUCGACGGAGUGGUUUGGCACCUCGAUGUCGGCUCAUCGCAUCCUGGGGCUGUAGUCGGUCCCAAGGGUUGGGCUGUUCGCCCAUUAAAGCGGCACGCGAGCUGGGUUCAGAACGUCGUGAGACAGUUCGGUCCCUAUCCGUCGCGGGCGUAGGAAAUUUGAGAGGAGCUGUCCUUAGUACGAGAGGACCGGGAUGGACUGACCUCUGGUGCACCAGUUGUUCCGCCAGGAGCAUGGCUGGGUAGCUAAGUCGGGAAGGGAUAAACGCUGAAAGCAUCUAAGCGUGAAGCCUCCCUCAAGAUGAGAUUUCCCAUAGCAUAAGCUAGUAAGACCCCUUGAAGAACACAAGGUUGAUAGGUCAGAGGUGUAAGUGCGGUAACGUAUUUAGCUGACUGAUACUAAUAGGUCGAGGGCUUGACCAA